GAAGGAGCUCACCUCCCCACAAAUUGUAUAAACCUUAGUUUCCACAAAACCUGGAUCUUCCCUGGCAUCAUCAUUUAUUAUGUGAGUUGUUUGGGUGUGGAGAGGUGAAGUGAGAGGUGCUUGAGGGCUAUGUCUGGGGAAAUUUAUAGAAAAUUAUCUGAAAGGGCAGCUUCUGCUGACCCAUAAGAUGUCAAGAUGUAUUAUUUUGAGGUAAACAUGUCAGCAACUGGUACUUCUCGGAUGCCUUUUCAGAUGACUGAAUUCUCUCCUCAUUUCUCCUUGUUUUUGUUGUGUAGUCAUGGUGGCAGCUGAUAAGAGGUGAGAUAAUGGGGCCAGGGACAGAUACCUUAGCUGUCACCUCACAGUCUCCCACACCAUAGAGAGCAAAGAAAGACAAUGGUAAAAAAAAAAAAAAAAUCCCACCCAGGAGCCCCCCGGAACACGCCACUCAUCCUGACAAAGAGCUGGUUUCCAACUGGGACAGAUCCCAGAAGCAGACCAAGCUGGGGUGUGGGCCCCAGGGCAGUAGGAGCCAAACCAACUUGUUUCCUCUGUGAGGCUACAGGCUGCAGAGCCAGGACUAUUCUUCUCAUGGAACAAAGCACAGGGAUUAAUUUGCAGGAUGAAAUUUAUUAUGUCUUUUACAGUAAAGACAUUUUGCCCUGAAGCUUAUUAGGUUUCUGAGUGCUCACAUUUUCUGAAAAAUAGCCACUGCAAUUUGCAGAUUUAAUUCCAACCUAAGUUGGUGUGGUUCAGGGAUGUGUCCAAGACAGGCUACCCGGGGCAAUGCUGCGCAUCCAUUUCCCAGCAAAGCUUCUUUGAUUUCUGAAAGACUUUACCAUUAAAUAUAGUGAGUUGAACACAGGCUUUAUCUCUUCUCUCUUCUGAAAUCUCAAUCACAUGACUGUAAAAUAACAAAAUCGGUGUGAAGUAGGUAUAAAUCCACGCAGAAAAAAAGAAUGAGAGGAAGAUAACAGCAGACUAGAGAUUCAACAGAAUUCUGGAAGCUGGAAUCCUGAGAAGUGGGACUUGCAGGGCAGAGAAAACUGGAUCAGAAAUACUCACCCUGCCCCUGCCACAUUAGGCCAGAACAGAACACCUUUCACAAAGAGGAGCUAAUCAGGAGCAAGUUCAUUGUUAUUCUAUGUCUGCUCUCCAAUCCCUGGCCAAGAAAUUCUCUUUCUGGAGAGGGUUCCACAAGCAGAUGAGAAAACAGAAGAGCAGCAGAGUGGUGCAACAGAGAAGGAGAGAAGAGAAGGAGCAUCUGAACAUCAAGAGGAGUUCAGCUGGGGACAGUUGGUUGGGAGAUCAGCUACAGGACAGCCAAACUCCAGGGGAAGAUGAUCUUCCCACUCCAUCCCCUUUCUGGCUCCUCAUCCAUUCUGCUGAGAGCCACCUCCAGCUCUCAAUAAAACCCCCACAUUCACCAGCCUUCAAGUCUGUGUGUGAUCUGAUUCUUCCUGGAUGCUGGAAAAGGACCUGGG
rnacentral:lncRNA from 1 species